rnacentral:rRNA from 1 species
GAGGAAGUAAAAGUCGUAACAAGGUUUCCGUAGGUGAACCUGCGGAAGGAUCAUUAUUGAAUAGUAUUGAGCGUUGUGCUGGCCUUUCGGGGCAUGUGCACGCGUUCAGCAUUAUCUUUCUUCUUGUGAACCAGUGUGGGAUUUGGAAUGAGCGGGCUUCAUUGACUGCAAGUUCUGGAGACCAUUUUUAUAAAUGUCAAAACGUUAUCUGAAUGUCAUCUUUGUUGCUGGCGCAAGCUAGUGAUAUAAACUAUAUACAACUUUCAACAACGGAUCUCUUGGCUCUCCCAUCGAUGAAGAACGCAGCGAAAUGCGAUAAGUAAUGUGAAUUGCAGAAUUCAGUGAAUCAUCGAAUCUUUGAACGCACCUUGCGCUCUUUGGUAUUCCGAAGAGCAUGCCUGUUUGAGUGUCAUUAAAUUCUCAACCUUAUGAAUGCUUUUGUGUUUGUAAGGCUUGGACGUGAGGGCUUUGCUGGCUUCCUUCAGUGGCGGUCUGCUCCCUUUAAAUGCAUUAGUGGGAUCCUUUGUGGAUAGCCGUUUGGUGUGAUAAUUUAUCUACGCUGUUCGCGCUUGAAGCAAGACUUAUGGGAACCCGCUUCUAACCGUCUGUAAUGGACAAUUUUUUGAACUUGACCUCAAAUCAGGUAGGACUACCCGCUGAACUUAAGCAUAUCAAUAAGCGGAGGAAAAGAAACUAACAAGGAUUCCCCUAGUAACUGCGAGUGAAGCGGGAAAAGCUCAAAUUUAAAAUCUGGCUGCUUCGCAGUCCGAGUUGUAAUUUAGAGAAGUGUUACCCGUGCUGGACCGUGUAUAAGUCUCUUGGAAUAGAGUAUCAUAGAGGGUGAGAAUCCCGUCUUUGACACGGACUACCAGUACAUUGUGGUGCGCUCUCGAAGAGUCGAGUUGUUUGGGAAUGCAGCUCAAAAUGGGUGGUAAAUUCCAUCUAAAGCUAAAUAUUGGGGGAGAGACCGAUAGCGAACAAGUACCGUGAGGGAAAGAUGAAAAGAACUUUGGAAAGAGAGUUAA